AAGCCAGUCUUGACAAAUCCACGGGCGAAAAAGAAAGAAAUCACAAUUAACCAGAUGACUUCAUUCGUGAAGGCACUAAAGGCGCUUGAAAAGGUUAGAGUCUUGGUCAAAACUGAGGUUGUAAGUCCAAGAAAAGCCCAUGCACCUACUGGCAAUGGGCUGAGGACCAAACCAGCGAUUGUUGAGAGGAAAAUGGAGAGCAAUUGCCAUGCUUGAGGAGAAACUUCAGGUGGUCUUGGAACCAAGAAUCGGACUAUAAGACCAAUUGAAACAGAAAUAAUCAAAGGAAUGAGCUUCGCACCCUGGGUUUUGGGCUUUACAUCUACAAUUACCACCUUAUCUGAUUCAGGGGAUGAAGAAGCAGUGAUGGGUUUAGGAGACGGUGGAUUUCUUGAAGUGGGUUUUGAAAGGGGAUUAAAAAGGAAAGGUUUGGGAUGAAAAAGAUUGAAUCUUGGACCAGUAAGAUUGAAUCUUGAACCGGAAUUAGAUGAUCGAAGGGAGGAAACUUGACGGAGAGCAGCGGUAGGAAUGGCGAAGGAACGUGAUCGCAGAUGGUGAUAGGAGAGACGAGAGAAAGAUGUGGUGGCGGCUGCGGCGGCAGAGGUGGCUGAAGAUGGAGAGUGAAGUGCCAAUCUCUCCAUUUUUU
rnacentral:misc_RNA from 1 species